UAAUUAACAGGCAUCCUGCGGACUGUAAUUAAAAGGCAGUUUGAAAUUAGUGAUACUUUGAUUCUAGCCAUUUGUAUUUUAUAACUGACAGUGAAUUCGCCUCAAAAAUGUUUAGUCCUCUCAUGUCCUUGCUCCCUGGUUUUUCUUCGGUUAGGCACUUUGGAAUUCAGCUGCAUUCUUCUACUUUCAACAAGUUACCUUCCUACCACUUCCAUUUGGGUGGAGCUGGUGAGCCAGAAGGAAGAAACGCCCAAACAGAUCUUCAGGCUCCACCCUCCCCAAUAGGUUCUCACGGCAGAGAUGCGCCUGGCAGGAGCUUCAACCCCAAGGCCACCCGCCGCCGCGGGUUCCCAAGCCCGGAUAGGGCCCUAAUGGGAAAGCAGCCUGGGUUCGCCUCGGCCCAGCCUCCGCCAAGUCUUCGGGAUCUGACGACCCACAACAGCGCGAGGGCGGAGGAACGGGAGGAAGCAGAGGAAGAGGAGGAAGAGGAAUUGCUUUUGUCGAGGCUCCGCCCGGCGCUGGCCAGGCCUCGUGGAGCCUCCGGGGCUCGGGGUCCCCAGGGGGCGUGGCCUCAGGGGCGGAAGAGGAGCGCGGGCGGGGGCUCAGGCAGCGCGCGGCGCGGGGGAGGGUCGGAGCCUCACCGGGCGGGGCGGGGCGGGGCGGGGCGGGGCGGGGCGGCAGGGCCUCCCCAGAGCGGGCGGCGGAGCUGCACUAGUCCGCGCGCGGUAGGGCAGAGACCCCGUACCCGAGGAGAAGGCAAAUUCUCAAGAAGGUGUCCGGUUCUGCCCAUCCUGCCCCACAGUUGGAAAACUGGACGCUGAGAAGUACACGCCAGAUUUGGCGGCCAGGCUAGUCUGAGAGCUAUAGGACAUGGAGCACCCCCAGGGGAAGCAAAGACAGGAUUCUCUCUCCCUCCUAGAUGUGAAUGUGUGACAUAGCUCCGCUCUCAUCUCCUCUUUGCAGAUGAUUUGUGUUGUCAGAGAAUUCAAUCUUUCUAGUUUUGUGACAGCUUCUUAACUGAAUUCCUCCACUUUUAGUUCAGGUUAAGCCUUGAUUGUGUCAUCUACCCCAAUGCUAGACGAAAGAGUUAAAGGACCAAAAGAGAGUAAGCCUUUUAAAGAAAGAAAAGAGCUAUAUAAUUGCCUAAGUAAAGCAUACUUCAGCUUUCAUAACUGCAAAAUACGUUCAGUUUAACCAACCAAAUUUUGUGCUGGACCCUGGGAUAACACAUAUGUACUAUAGAUACUCUAGUAGGGAAGAUAGAUGAAUAGAAAGACAACUAUAAGUCAGUGUUAUACCUUUAAUAAUAAGAGCACAUACUAGGUACAAAAGUGGCUAACUGAAGGAGUGACUAAUUCUAUGAGGUAUCUGGGGACAGGGGUAUAAGAAAAAGGUUUCAGCCAGGAAUGAUGCCCAUCAGAGGGGGUGUUUGAAGCAUUAGCAGGAAUGGUUAAAAAAAAAAAGCUCUUGAGGUAGAUAGUAAUAAAUGACUACGAAAUGCUGAUUGACAGCACAGAAGAAAGUAAACUGUAAAGAGGCAUCAGUGACGGAGAUAUUUGACCUUCUAGGAGUCUCUGUUGAUAGGUGCUGGUGGCAUCCUUCCUGGAUUUCCAGGAUUGUCCCAAUUUACAUGUUUUGACCAUCCCCCUGGUACAUAGUUGUAUAUUCUUCGUUGUGGGUCCUUCUAGUUGUGGCAUGUGGGACGCUGCCUCAGCGUGGUUUGAUGAGCAGUGCCAUGUCCGCGCCCAGGAUUCGAACCAACGAAACACUGGACCGCCUGCAGCGGAGCGCGCAAACUUAACCACUCGGCCACAGGGCCGGCCCCUUAUACAAGUUAUUUAAACUCUCAUUGGUGAAAAGGAGAUAAUAAUAGCACCCACUGAG
ensembl:lncRNA